UGGUGGCUGGCGGUGCCGCCGGGUCAGCGCUGGUGUACCGACGCACUCCUGUGGACAAGGCCGACCUUGGGGAUAUGGGUCAUGGCCAGCCGGGCACUGCAGAACUCAGAGGGGACAGAAGCGUGGUGGAGAGUCGCAGGAGGGUCUGGCGGUCGGACCCGCAGCUGCUGGCGCAGUUCUACCACGCGGACGAGGAGCUGAGCCAGGUGGCGGCCGAGCUGGACAGUCUGGACGGGCGGAAGGACCCCCAGCGCUGCACGCUGCUCGUCAGCCAGUUCCGCUCCUGCCAGGACAACGUGUUAAACAUCAUUAACCAGAUCAUGGAUGUGUGCAUCCCCCAGGACCGCGCCCCACGGGAUUUCUGUGUCAAGUUCCCCGAGGAGAUCCGGCACGACAACCUGGCCGGCCAGCUCUGGUUUGGCGCCGAGUGCCUGGCCGCUGGCUCCAUCAUCAUGAACCGCGAGCUGGAGAGCAUGGCCAUGCGGCCGCUGGCCAAGGAGCUGACCCGCAGCCUGGAGGACGUGCGCGGCGCCCUCCGCGACCAGGCGCUGCGGGACCUCAACACCUACACGGAGAAGAUGCGGGAGGCGCUGAGGCACUUCGACGUGCUGUUCGCCGAGUUCGAGCUGAGCUACGUGUCGGCCAUGGUGCCCGUGAAGUCCCCGCGGGAGUACUACGUGCAGCAGGAGGUCAUCGUGCUGUUCUGUGAGACGGUGGAGAGGGCCCUGGACUUCGGGUACCUGACCCAGGACAUGAUUGACGACUACGAGCCAGCCCUCAUGUUCACCAUCCCCAGGUUGGCCAUCGUGUGUGGCCUCGUGGUCUACGCGGAUGGACCCCUGAACCUGGACCGCAAGGCAGAGGACAUGUCCGAGCUCUUCCGGCCCUUCCACACGUUGCUGCGGAAAAUCAGGGAUUUGCUGCGGACCCUGACCGAGGAGGAGCUUCACACGCUGGAACGGAACCUCUGUAUUUCCCAAGACGUGGAAUUCCCCAUCCGGGCGGACACCCCGGUGCCCCCUGCCCUGGAGCCCGCCCUGCCCGCACCCCUCGGCCCAGCGGAGCCCAGGCACGCAGAGGCGGAGCUGGCGUGCUCCGUGCAGGACGACGACCAGGAGCUGGAGCAGCUCAGCCGAAUGGUGCACAGGGCUGGGGACGCGAUGUCCUCUCUCCUGUCCCCGCCCAAUGCCUGCCAGUCCCCCGCGCACGGGCCGGGCGCCGAGCGCGGUGCCCUCGGGCAGGCAUCCCCGGGCGGACCACGGCUGCCGCCGGGCAGCGACGAAGAAGAGGGGAGGGUGUUCUUCAUGGAGGAUGUGGACGGGGCGGCAGAGCCCCCGGGCGGCCGGUGUGGGCGGGCGGGCGGCCCCCAGGAGAGAGGGCGGGGCGGGGAGAGCCGAGGGGCGGGGGCCGGAGCAGCCGCCGCAGCCGAGACGGCGGAGGACCUGAGCGGCAGCAACGGCGUGCAGGGCGACCAGACGCGGGCAGUGGGCCCUGGUUCCUGCAGCUGCUCGGACUCCCAGCCGCAGCUGGAUGGCUGGGAGGCGAGUGCGGAGGACGCCCAGACGGCCGAGCUAAUCGCCCACCGGACGGGGGGCAUGAAGCUCUCGGCCACGGUCAUCUUCAACCCCAAGUCGCCCAGCUCCCUGGACUCUGCCCUCGCCAACCCAGAAGUCCUCGGAAACGGCGUCUCCCCGGGGGAGCCGGCGGCCGAGGGGCCGGAGGGCGGCCCCCACAAACUCAGCGCCACGGCUACCAACAGCCUUCUGAACUCCUGCGUGUGCUGCAGGGGCUGUGCGGGCAGCAGGGAGGACGCGGCGGAGAGCCUGCGCGGCAAGUGCGGCUCGGGAAGCGUCAUCCGCUCCUCUUACGUGGGCUCCGCCAAGGCCUGCGCCAAGGGCUCGGCCGCGGGACUGCUGGAGGUCCGGCCUGCCCCGGAGGCCUUGCCCACGGCGCUGGGCGUCCCAGACCCCGGGCCCUCCGAAGACGCCCCCGGCGGGCAGGAGCCCAAAGUCCCCACUUCCGACAAGUGCCUGGCACACACCUCAGGGCCCCAGGUGGACGCGGCAGACGGGCUGCCUGGAGGGGGCGGCGGAGCGAGUGAGCAAAAGGAGGCUGAGGCCCGGCAGCCCUCGGAGGCCGGGGAGGAGAGUCGGCGUGGAGGGGCGGCCGGGGAGGAGGCCCAGCACCUGCCGGGCUCCAGGUUCAAGCCCAACAUCAUAAUGUCCAGCAGAAUGAAUUCUUGUCCACAACCUAAGGAGCGGCUUCCUUCCUCAGGGCCUCCAGCUCAGUGGCCCAGAGUUGACUGGUGACAGUCAGUGAACACUUACUCUGUCUGGAACCCCCUCCUGCUUUCCUGACGUGUCCUGCCGUGGACACUGCUUGUUCACGUCAGGCCGGCAGCUUCCCAGGCCUCCUCUGGCUUAGCACAAAUGCAGAAGCUGAGCUGAGAAAAGGAAACAGCCUCCGUGGAGGCCUCGGGAGACGCUCCCAUCUCCCAGGGAAGCAUUUCCACAAGGUGCAGAGGGUCUGAGGGUGGCCAGGGGAUCAGGGCAGCCAGGCCUUUGGGCCAGGACCGUGGACAGCGGCGCCCGGGGCCCAGCACCGCGCCAGGAGCAGCUGAGAAUCAGGUCAGCAGGUGGCGCCCGUGCCCUCCGCGGGCAGCGCAGACAUGGGGAGCGUCAUCCCUUCGCGUCGCACGUGGGUUCCUGGGUGGCUGAGCAGGGUGCGGGGGAGGCGGCCCAACCUUGCAGAGCGUGAUCUAACACGAAUGGAGGGGCAAAAGCAGCCUGUUGAAACAGACAGACACAGAAGACCAGCCUCACACAGGCAGCAAGUUCACCGGAACUCGGACGGCGAGAUCCCGGGCGUUGGUUGGCGUUAGUAUCGUCUGUGCGCAGCCUCCCAUGAACACAGCCAGGCUUGUGUCGGGUGCAGGUGACCCCCCCGCCCCUGGCAGACGGAGAGACGGACCCCGGAGAGUCUGGCACCCGCCGUGGCUCGAAGUGCCUAGAGGGGCUGGCAUCACCCUUGACCUGCCUGAGCGAGAGCCCGUCUGUCUGGUGACGCGCUUGGUCAUCACUAGGCCGUGACGAGCCAACAUCCUGAGCUGACCAUGAGGCUGUCUGUCCAGCAGGUCCCCCUGUGGCCCCUGCCAUGCGCAGAAGUAGGAGUGACCGCGUGUGUGGCCCCGUGCGUGAGUCAGACGGGUGCAGCCUCAGACCUCUGUGCCACCUUUGAGUCGGGUGCCAUGAAGGGGACGCACCAAGCCGCGACCACGAGUCUGCUUUUGGGGCCAUGUUCCCUGAGGACGCCUGGAGUGUCACGUCCCACACAAGCAGCGCACAGCCUCCAGGUGGAAGGACGGGGCUGCCGGGGUACGGCGCAGGCCGGAGGUGGGUCCUGGAGCAAGGGCCCGGGCGGGAAGAGCCCUGCACGUUCCCCCAGGCCCUGUCUUCAGCGGCUGCACGCAGGCCGGUUCCAGCCGUGCUGUUGCCCGGGGUAGGGGACGUCGCCCCAGCACAGUCGUGGGCAGAAUGUUUCAGAACCCAGUGUCCUUCAGAUCUUUUCUUUCUUACCUUUUCCGUGCUUGAAGAUUAACCUUUUGGGGGGAAAACUUAGCAUUUUUAAAAGCUUCUUGUUUUUUGCCUAGACUCACCUCAUCAGUCAGAACUGUCCACACUCUCGAGGCUGGCAGGAGCGCUCACUUGUCUAGAGGACGGAAACUCGCACCCUCUUGGGUCUUUUACUAAAAAACUUAUGAAAACAUAAAGAAGAGUAAAAGAAGGAAAUAAAAACCAUUCCAAAUCUGCUUCCAGUUUUCCCAGCAGCACUUAUUGGAGAGACGGUCUUUCUCUAUCUCAGCACCAUCUUUUGAAAAGAGCGUUCUUUCCUCGUUGGAUGAUCUUGGCACCCCUUUGGAAAAUCAGUUGCCCACAAACGUGUGGGUUUAUUUCUGGACUUGCAAUUCUCUUCCGUCGUCACGUGUCCUAUGCCAGUGCCUCAGUCGUAUUUACUGGCGUUUCAUGCUAAAGUCCACGUCAUGAGUGUGAGUCCUCCAGCUUGUUUCUUUUUCAAGAUUGUUUUGGCUGUUCUGAGUCCUUGCGUUUCCGUACGAAUUUUAGGAUCAGCUGGUCAACUUCUGCAUGGAAAAAGAAAAGGCGGCUAUCUUGACACAGAUUGCAUUGAACUUAUUGACCAAUUUGGGGAGUAUUGCCAUCUUAACAAUAUUAAGUCCUCAACCAUGAACAUAGGGUGUCUUUCCAUUUAUUUAGGUCUAAUUUAUUUCAGUGACGUUUUGUAGUUUUCCGUGUGUCACUCUUGCACUUUUUUGUUAAGUUUAUUACAAAUAUUUAAAUCUUUUGGAUGCUAUUGCAGAUAGGGUUGUUUCUUAAUUUCAUUUUCAGUUUGUUUAUUGCUACUCUAUCUUAAUAUAAUUGGGUCUUCAACAGUAACUGCUUUAUUGGUAUAUAGUAUAUAGACCAUUCAGUUCACCCUUUAAAAGUGUAUAAUUUUUGCUGUACGCCCGAAACUAACACAACAUUGUAAAUCAACUAUACUUCAAUUUUUUAAUUAUUAAAAAUAUGUACUAUACAAGUGUAUAAUUUAAUGGUUUUUAGCAUGUAUUCACUCUUAACCUGUUGUAUUGAUGCCAAAUCCAUCAGCUCUCUUCGCUACUUAACCUUUCCAGUCCCCUUUCCUCUGCCCUCCCCUGUCCUAAAUCUUUUUUUUCCCCUACUUUUUAAUUUUGGCAAAAUACAUCUAACAUAAAUUUUACUCUUUUAACCAUAUUUAAGUGUACAAUUCGGUGGCAUUGUACACAUUCACAAUGUGGUAUAACUGCCACCACUCUUUAUUUCCAGAACUUUUCAUCAUCCCAGACUGAAACUCUGUCCCCACUCAAGCCCCCUUCCCCAGCAGCCGGCACCCACCAUCUGCUUUCUGUCUCUGUGAAUGUGACUCCUCCAGGGACCUCACGUAAGCGGAGUCACACGGUGUUUGUCCUUUUGUGACCGGCUUCUGUCACUGGGCCUAAUGUCCUACAGGUGCGUCCAUAUGGUAGCUGGUGUCAGAAUUUUCUUCCGUGUUAAGGCUGGAUAAUAUUCCAUCGUAUGGAGGGACCACGUUUUGUGUAUCCAUCAUCUGUUGACGGGCACUUGGGUUGUUUCCCCUUGGGCUCUUGUGAAUAACGCUGCUGCAAAUAGUGUGUGUAAAUAUUUGCUUGGGCUCCUGCUUCCCAGUCUUUUGGGUGAGGCUGUGAACUGAGACUGGGGGCGUUGAUGGAAGCUGACACCCCGGACAGUGAUGUUGCAUCCCCCUUCUUUACUCAGCUCCCAGGACAGGGGCCGCCAAGUCCACACCCCCCAGGCAGAAAGUCAAGGGCUUCGUCUCUGGAAACCUGGCAGGGGGUCUGGGAGGGCAGAGCUGUAGAUCAUCACAAGGGUCCCAGCCUCGCCCUCAGCCUCCCACCGCUCCUCCACGUUCUGGUGAAAUAGUACUGAUAAGGGCACUUCCCUGGUGGCGCAGUGGCUGGGAAUCUGCGUGCCAAGGCAGGGGACACGGGUUCGAGCCCUGGUCCGGGAGGAUCCCACAUGGCGCGGAGCAGCUGGGCCCGUGCGCCACGGCUGCUGAGCCUGCGCUCUGGGACCUGCGAGCCACAACUGCUGAGCCCGCAUGCCACAGCUGCUGGGGCCUGUGCGCCUGGAGCUUGUGCUCCGCAACAAGAGAGGCCACCGCGGUGAGGGGCCCGCGUGCAGCAACGAAGACCCAAUGCAGCCAGAGAUAAAUAAAUAAAAUAAAUACACUUUUUUAAAAGAAAUAUUACUUACAAACCAAUGUUCACGUCGCUAGAGUGUGCCAGUCGGACGCGCACUCGUCUGAGCAGGGGGAGCCCAUGAAGCCAGUCUGGGGCCCUUUCCAGCCCCAGCGCCCCCUGCACUGAAUUCUCAGGCGCGUCACAUCUCCGAGCUUCCUGAUGGUUUGACACCAAGGGACGUGCCCCUAAGUGAGAUAUCGGGCGGCUGUGCGUGUCUCUCUGCCGUGUCGGCGAGGGUCGUCCACGUCCACAAGGGGCCAGGGCUGCUCACCCGCUACAAUCAGGCGGGCCACAGCAUGACAGGAUGACAGUGGAUUCUCCCCCUCCAUCACUGGUGGAUUUUACUGGAACUUCCAGAACGGCCCUGAAGGUUCUGCCACGUCUGCAGUUGCACAGGGCAGGGUCUUGGGUGUGUGCCAACCACGGCCCCUGGGCUGAGGAGUGUGCCAGCUUCUCUGAGGUGAUGCCAGAGCACCUCCCCAAAGUCAUCCACCAGUUUACACUCCCACCAGUGAUGCGAGGGCGGCCGCUAUUCCGCCAUGCCAGGAGGCCACGCCAGGGCCUCUCUCUGACAGGGGUCUCUGCAUUUGAGGCAGGCAUGAAAAAACCAACUCCCCCACAGAAAAGCAGAAACAGAGAUAGUGCAGGCCACCAAAGGCAACUUCUAAAAAAUUAUAAUGACGGACUUCCCUGAUGGUCCAGUGGUUAAGACUCCACGCUUCCACUGCAGGGGGCACAGGUUCAAUCCCUGGUCGGGGAACUAAGAUCCCGCAUGCCUCGCGGCACAGCCAAAAAAAAAAGAAAAAGAAAAUCAGAAAAAAUAUAUAAUUAAUGUUUCUAGAUAGAUAAAAUAUUUCACAUCCAUGAAACAACAGAGAGAGCAGGAAAUUAAAAACCUGGUAGCAAAAAUGUCGAGGGGAAAGUCGGAGGAAAAAAGAGGAAAUUUCCCAGAAAGUGGGACAAAACGGCAGAAAUAGAAGAUGGGAGAUAAAUGAUUUAAGAACAGGACGGUCAGUGGACGCCCUAACAGUGUAGGCUCAACUGCGGCCACUACUUAGGGCCGCAGGGCGACCCCUGAACAGCAGAGCUCGCAGCACCUGCAGCAGGACCCCUGGGCCGUGGGAAGGGAAGUGCAUGGUGGGGACGAAGGACAGUCUUAGUAAAACAGCACCACGACCUGGGGGCUUAAAAUAACAGAAAUCUCUUCUCUCGCAGGCGGGAGGCCAGAAAUCUGAAAUCUGACAGGGCUGUCCCCGCUCCGGAGGCUCUCAGGGAGGGUCCUUCCUGCGUCUUCCAGCUUCUGGUGGCUCCGGGCACCCCCAGGCUUGUGGCCACAUCACCCUGAUCUCUGUAUCGUGGCCACUUCACCUCCUCCCCUCCCCCGUGUGUCUGUGUCUCCUCUCCCGUCUCCCACAAAGACACUUGUCCUUAGAUUAGGGCCACCAGGUAAUCCAUGAUGUCUCCUCUCAAGAUCCUUACCUUGACUGCAGCCGCAAAGCCUUUUCUUCCAAACGGGUCCUGCUGGCAGGUGCAGGGGUUAGGGUGUGGACACAUCUUCUGGGAGCCCAUCAGCCCCCUGCAGAGGGUGUGAGUAGGGGCGGUGACUCUCCCACGGGAGGAGCUCAGCACGUGGCGUUAGCCCCAGUGGGCUCCCGCGACGGGGGGGGGCCUCCGGGCAGAGAUUUUGCCUUCCCUCGUCCCUCCACCUGCGCUCCUGUGUUUCCUUCUCUGCACAGCGGCUUCACGGCCGGCUCCUGCCCCUCA